AUCGAACGCUGGCGGCAGGCCUAACACAUGCAAGUCGAGCGGAUGAAGGCAGCUUGCUCCUGGAUUCAGCGUCGGACGGGUGAGUAAUGCCUAGGAAUCUGCCUGGUAUUGGUGUAUAACGUCCGGAAACGGGCGCUAAUACCGCAUACGUCCUGAGGCAGAAACAGGGGGAUCGUCGGACCUCACGCUAUCAUAGGAGCCUAGGUCGGAUUAGCUAGUUGGUGGGGUAAAUGCCUUCCAAGGAGACGAUCCGUAACUGGUCUGAGAGGAUGAUCAGUCACACUGGAAGUGAGACACGGUCCAGACUACUACGAGACGCCCCAGUGGCGUAUGUUAGACAGUGGGCGGGAGCAUGACACAGUGAUGGGGCGUGUGAGACGGCGGCCUUCGGAUCGUAAAGAACUUUAAGUUGGGAGAAAGGGCAGUAAGUUAAUACGAUGCUGUUUUGACGGUAAUAACAGAAUAAGCACCGGCUAACUUCGUG
rnacentral:rRNA from 1 species